rnacentral:rRNA from 1 species
CACGUAGGGCGCAAGCGUUUGUCCGGAAUUAUUGGGCGUAAAGGAGCUACGUAGGCGGUCUGUUGCGUCCGCUGUGAAACUCGGGGCUUAACCCCGAGCCUGCAGUGGUACGGGCAGACUAGAGGUGUGGAGGGGGAGAACUGGAAUUCCGGUGGUGAGCGGUGAAAUGCGCAGAUAUCGAGGAGACGAGCCGAGUGGUCG